AGCACAAAUCUUUCAUGAGGAGGUCUGUGGACAAUGACUGGUUGAGCUUCCAAAGGUGCUAACGUGGAGAGGAUGAGUAGGAGUCUGUACUUUUUAGAAAAGGGAAACACUCUGGGUAGAAAUAUCAUCACAUAUGCAUCUUAAUGGAAGAACAAGGAGUGGUUGCUCUGAGCUGAAGGUCUGGAUGCUUGGCUAAGAGAUGAGAUCUGCCUUGAGAUUCAACAAGGAUCAAAGUUUUAAUAGAAAGAAGACUUGAUUAUCUGAGCUGCACCACAUGUGUUCGUCUCCUGUUUGUCCUGACCUUGAAUCUGAGGGAAAGCAUUGCUCAAGGACUGACACAGCCCUCCAGUUUGAACCAAUGAUAUCAGGACCCACAGGACUAGCUCAUCAGAGACUCCCAAGUGGAAGACAUAUGGAGGGAUGAUUCACUUGGAUUCAAAAUCAGGAGUUGGAAUACACAGCCAUUGGCCCUGAAUCUACUUGGGGUACAUA
ensembl:lincRNA Gm37839 predicted gene, 37839